GUCUACAGCCAUGCCACCCUGAACAAGCCUGAUGUCUGAUCUCGGAAGCAGGGUCGGGCCUGGUUAGUACUUGGACAGGAGACCACCUAGGGAGACCGGGUGCUGUAGGCA
rnacentral:rRNA from 1 species